GACGAACGCUGGCGGCGUGCUUAACACAUGCAAGUCGAACGGAGAGGCCCUGCUUUUGUGGGGUGCUCGAGUGGCGAACGGGUGAGUAACACGUGAGUAACCUGCCCUUGACUUUGGGAUAGCUUCAGGAAACUGGGGCUAAUACCGGAUAGGAGCUCCUGCUGCAUGGUGGGGGUUGGAAAGUUUCGGCGGUUGGGGAUGGACUCGCGGCUUAUCAGCUUGUUGGUGGGGUAGUGGCUUACCAAGGCUUUGACGGGUAGCCGGCCUGAGAGGGUGACCGGCCACAUUGGGACUGAGAUACGGCCCAGACUCCUACGGGAGGCAGCAGUGGGGAAUAUUGCACAAUGGGCGGAAGCCUGAUGCAGCAACGCCGCGUGCGGGAUGACGGCCUUCGGGUUGUAAACCGCUUUCGCCUGUGACGAAGCGUGAGUGACGGUAAUGGGUAAAGAAGCACCGGCUAACUACGUG
rnacentral:rRNA from 1 species